rnacentral:rRNA from 1 species
UACGGGGGGGUAAGCGUUGUUCGGAAUUACUGGGCGUAAAGGGCUCGUAGGCGGCCAACUAAGUCAUACGUGAAAUCCCUCAGCUUAACUGGGGAACUGCGUGUUGAUACUGGGAUGGCUUGGGAUUUGGGAGAGGGAUGGCGGAAUUCCAGGUGUAGCGGUGAAAUGCGUAGAUAUCUGGAGGAACACCGGGUGGCGAAGGCGGGC